GCCGGGCAUGGUGGCUCAUGCCUGUAAUCCCAGCACUUUUGGAGGCUGAGGCGGGUGGAUCACCUGAGGUCAGGAGUUUGAGACCAGCCUGGCCAACAUGGUGAAACCCCAUCUCUA
rfam:Homo sapiens chromosome 1, GRCh38 reference primary assembly.